AAUCCUUGAAAAAGAAGAUCAAGAAACUUCGAAGAAGCUUUCUUGAUGGAGGGGAGCGGCAGACGGGUGAGUAACGCAUGGGAAUCUACCGUACCCUACGGAAUAGCUCUGGGAAACUGGAGGUAAUACCGUAUACGCCCUAACGGGGAAAGAUUUAUCGGGGUAUGAUGAGCCCGCGUUGGAUUAGGUAGUUGGUGGGGUAAAGGCGUACCAAGGCGACGAUCAAUAGCUGGUCUGAGAGGAUGAUCAGCCACAUUGGGAAUGAGACACGGCCCAAACUCCUACGGGAGGCAGCAGUGGGGAAUAUUGGACAAUGGGCGCAAGCCUGAUCCAGCCAUGCCGCGUGAGUGAUGAAGGUCUUAGGAUUGUAAAGCUCUUUCACCGAUGAAGAUAAUGACGGUAGUCGGAGAAGAAGCCCCGGCUAACUUCGUGCCAGCCGCCGUAAUAC
rnacentral:rRNA from 1 species